AUUGAACGCUGGCGGCAUGCCUUACACAUGCAAGUCGAACGGUAACAGGUCUUCGGAUGCUGACGAGUGGCGAACGGGUGAGUAAUACAUCGGAACGUGCCUAGUAGUGGGGGAUAACUACUCGAAAGAGUGGCUAGUACCGCAUGAGAUCUACGGAUGAAAGCAGGGGAUCGCAAGACCUUGUGCUACUAGAGCGGCCGAUGGCAGAUUAGGUAGUUGGUGGGGUAAAAGCUUACCAAGCCGACGAUCUGUAGCUGGUCUGAGAGGACGAUCAGCCACACUGGGACUGAGACACGGCCCAGACUCCUACGGGAGGCAGCAGUGGGGAAUUUUGGACAAUGGGCGCAAGCCUGAUCCAGCAAUGCCGCGUGCAGAAUGAAGGCCUUCGGGUUGUAAACUGCUUUUGUACGGAACGAAAAGCCCUGGGUUAAUACCCUGGAGUCAUGACGGUACCGUAAGAAUAAGCACCGGCUAACUACGUGCCAGCCGCCGCGGUAA
rnacentral:rRNA from 1 species